GGACCCUGGAAAAUACAAAUAAAAGACUGGAUCAAUGGGUUUGUCUGCGGCACUCACUUCUAACAGCUGUGCUGCAGUGUAUGUCAGAAAACCAAAGCAUCUUUAGCUGAACAAAAGUAACUGAAUUCCCUAGUAUGCAAAUUCCUCAAUAAAGAGAACUCAAAAGCAAUUUUCUGAAUGCAAACAGGUGAAAUUUUGUGUCUAUUCCUGCUUAAUUGAAUUCAUUUGAACCAACAGGUACCAAACUUUUAAAGAGCACCUCUGGCCAUACGUGCAAUGAAUGGAAGGAUGAAGAAAGGAGAACAGCUCUGGUGAACUCGGACCUUAUGACCAGUGAAGAUGCGGACACAGUUUCCAUUGAGGACGUCCCAGAGACGGAUGGUGCGGUCAGAUGAGCCUGUGGCCAAAUAAUUGGAGUUGGGGUGGAAACGAGUACAAGUGAUGUCAGCGAGGUGACCAGAGAACAUCCGCAGAGGUUGGUAGUGAUCUGUUGCCCAGAGGCUGUAGGAGAAGGCACAGCAAUGAAAGACAUCUGGAGAAAGAGCUGGUGGAUAUUACUGUGCUUUCUUUUGUUAUAGGAGAACAGUGGGUCAAAUAAUUAAUUCUACACAAUAAUUAAAAAUAAUUAAAAGAGUUCUACAGCUUC